GAAUCUACAAAGAUGCUUGGAAUGCUCGACCGUUUCUAUCGUCUCUGCGAAUGGCGAUACGAUACGACUCCUCUUUUUUCCAUCGAUUAACAAAAAUACACCAUAAAUGUUUUCUUGAAAAAGGAAUAUAUUCGACUCACGACGACAAGGUGAGACUUAACGGUCAACUUGCCGGGAAGAUACGUUUUCAAUGAAGUUUUAUUGCGAAACGCUUUUCAAAUAUUACGUGAUAAUUGAAUAUAAUGAUACAGAUUAACUUAUGAGACAAUUGGCAUUAUUUCGAAUUCUAUCGUUUCUGUAUUUGCCAAUAUGAAUUUAGAUAAAUUAGCCGACGUGUUUUAUUUGUGAAGAGUUAGUAGUUUGUUCAAUUUAAGCAAGUAAAUUUUUCUUUUUUAUAUAGGAAAUAUUGAUAUCGUUUAUGCGGGAAGUGCGCAAAAUAUAAUUUUACUAAUACCUGAUAGUAUUUAGUAAUCUUUGCCAAUCUUAUUUGCCAAGAAAUUUUAUCAAGUUAGUUUAUAUUAAGAUAUAGACAUAUACUAGAGAAAAUAAAAAUUAUUAUUAAUUUAGCAAAAAGUUCUUGAUAAGUUGUACAUAGGUCUUGAAUACUCGAUCACAUGAAUUAUAAUCUGUAGAGGUGAUUAUAACAGGAUAUUAAUUCCAAUGUAUAUUUCAACAUAUGAAUAUUAUUUUCUUUUAUCAUUGAUCAUUAUCCCAGUGUAUCUGUUUUUUAAAUUAUGGUCAUGGCUAGGUUGGCAAUUAUUUAUAAAUAAUUAAUAUAAUGUGCAUUGUGUCUUUGGUU